ACAUGCCUACAUCAUAGUGUUAAUGCACCGGAUCCCAUUAGAACUUUGCAGUUAAGCGCACUUAAACUAGAGUAGUACUGGGAUGAGUGAUCGCCCGGGAAGUCCUAGUGUUUUACAUGCC
rnacentral:rRNA from 1 species